GUCUACAGCCAUCCCACCCUGAACGCACCCGAGCUUGUCUGAUCUUGGAAGCUAAGCAGAGUCGGGCCUGGUUAGUACUUGGAUGGGAGACCGCCUGGGAAUACAGGGUGCUGUAGGCU
rnacentral:rRNA from 1 species